rnacentral:tRNA from 1 species
GGGGUUGUGACUCAGCGGGAGAGUGCUCGCCUAGCAAAUGUGAGGCCCUGGGUUCGAUCCUCAGCACCACA